ensembl:misc_RNA Metazoa_SRP Metazoan signal recognition particle RNA
GCCAGGCGUGGUGGUGCAUGCCUGUAAUCCCAGCUACUCAGGAGGCUGAGGCAGGAGAAUCGCUUGAACCCAGGAGGCGGAAGUUGCAGUGAACCAAGAUUGCACCACUGCACUCCAGCCUGGGUGACAGAGCGAGACUCCGUCUCAA